CCUUGACGGUACCUAACCAGAAAGCCACGGCUAACUACGUGCCAGCAGCCGCGGUAAUACGUAGGUGGCAAGCGUUGUCCGGAAUUAUUGGGCGUAAAGCGCGCGCAGGCGGUUUCUUAAGUCUGAUGUGAAAGCCCCCGGCUCAACCGGGGAGGGUCAUUGGAAACUGGGGAACUUGAGUGCAGAAGAGGAGAGUGGAAUUCCACGUGUAGCGGUGAAAUGCGUAGAGAUGUGGAGGAACACCAGUGGCGAAGGCGACUCUCUGGUCUGUAACUGACGCUGAGGAGCGAAAGCGUGGGGAGCGAACAGGAUUAGAUACCCUGGUAGUCCACGCCGUAAACGAUGAGUGCUAAGUGUUAGGGGGUUUCCGCCCCUUAGUGCUGCAGCAAACGCAUUAAGCACUCCGCCUGGGGAGUACGGUCGCAAGACUGAAACUCAAAGGAAUUGACGGGGGCCCGCACAAGCGGUGGAGCAUGUGGUUUAAUUCGAAGCAACGCGAAGAACCUUACCAGGUCUUGACAUCCUC
rnacentral:rRNA from 1 species